rnacentral:RNase_P_RNA from 1 species
UGAGCACACUGGAUGACCGCGUCAAAUGCGACCGCCCCAUAGCCUGAAUAUGGGUGGCGGGCAUAUGCCGAGGAAAGUCCGGACUCCACAGAGCAAGGUGGUUGCUAACGGCAACCCGAGGUAACUCGCGGGCUAGUGCCACAGAAAUUAGACCGCCGUGUCGCAAGAUGCGGUAAGGGUGAAACGGUGCGGUAAGAGCGCACCAGCAAAAUAGGUGACUAUUUUGGCUUGGUAAACCCCACCUGGAGCAAGGCAAGAGCGCUGUGGAUGCCAUAAGGAUUAUGGGAUCCGAGCGUGCACAACUGUUGUCGGUGACUCGCCACUAGUUGUGGGUAGCUGCUAGAGAUAAGGAGCAAUCCUUAUCCGAGAUGGAUGGUCAUCGCUGCUGUUUUCAGCAGUACAGAAUCCGGCUUAUAGGUGAGCUCAUUUC